rnacentral:lncRNA from 1 species
UGUGUAGAAACGAACUCUUGUCAGAGUUGCAAAGGAAUUAACGUUUUUUUGGCAAAAUGUGCUAAUAUAAAGAGUUAGAAGAUUAGUAAUGCCGAGUGAAAGCCACACGCUCUUGCGCACGGAAACAGGCACGUGCUCCGUGUCCUGCGGGCGACUGGGCUGCAGCAAUUUUAUUGAAGAUUGAAGUUUGAUUGACCCACGUUGAGGUGGCUAACCCUUCUGAAAUUAAAAACCAGAGCGGAAUUAUUCUGCUCAAUUUAAAUGCAAA